rfam:Cavia porcellus supercont2_95 genomic scaffold, whole genome shotgun sequence.
GGGGAUUUAGCUCAGCGGCAUAAGCGCCUGCCUUGCAAGCAGGCAGUCGAGAGUUUGAUCCCCG